ACCGGCGGCUCGAGUGGUGGCCACUAUUACUGGGCCUAAAGCGAUCGUAACCGGUUUGUUAAGUCCCUGGGGAAAUCUUCCGGAUCAACCGGAAGGCGUGUCAGGGAUACUGGCAGGCUAGGGACCGGAAGAGGUGAGAGGUACUCCAGGGGUAGGAGUGAAAUCCUGUAAUCCUUGGGGGACCACCUGUGGCGAAGGCGUCUCACCAGGACGGCUCCGACAGUGAGGAACGAAAGCUGGGGGAGCAAACCG
rnacentral:rRNA from 1 species